AGUGACUAAAUCUUUCUUUGUUUUUUAAAUCUUUAUCCGCGAAUUAAGGUUUUCAAAGAUUUAGAUCCAUUAAAUCUAGUGCAUUUUUAGAGGAUUUUUUUCCUUUGUUAUUUCUUUUGUUUUUUUCUUUCUUCUUUGCCAUAAUUUGGUUUUCACCUUAUCUGGCAAUGUCGCAGGGACAUCCGUUUUUCUAAAGUUGAAGUGUAAGCAAAAAAUCUUUCAACGAAUAAAACGCAUUUUCGCGGGACGUGGUGAUCCACGUGUUUUUUGCGGCAUUGUUGUUAAAGAAAUCAGUAAAUAGUAAAAUAAUUGCGUUAUUAAUAAGUUGAACUAAGAAAUGUUUCGACUAACUGCAACACAGUAUUAUUGUUGUCGACAGAAAUUAACAUAAACCUUUUCCAGAAUCUUCUUGUUAAAGAGGCUAAUGUUGUAUGUACUGAAACAUAUGACAAAUAAGUGAGUCUAAAUGUAUAAUAUUGUUUGUCAUUUUUACACUAUAAGCUAUGCAGCAAUAAUCUGCCAAUUUACAGAAGGGUAUUGCUAUAACUGAGCAUGUGUUAGAAUCACCAACCUCCAAGAUACAUGAUUGAGGCAUUAACAGAUUAAUAUAAUCACCAAAAAAGCUGAUGGAUGACAUAAUUUAACCCUGGUGUACUUAACCAGCACAUCAUGCUAAUUUGUUAACUCAUGUAGCAGUUUAGUAUGCUGUGAAAAAUUAAUUCUCCAGAACCACCAGGUUGACAAAAAAGUCUAUGGGUUGCUACUCAAAGCAAAGUUGUUCAGCAAGGAAAACUAUUCUUCAUUAACUUCCAUCAAGAAACAUUUUACAAUAAAUCUUUGAAAAAAUGUUUAACCCUGUGAAUGAGUGAACCACAACAACAGCAUAGUUGUGAACAGUACAGGAUCAAUUUCAUCUUUGUUGCAUUGUACAGCUACACACAUUGCAGAUGCUUUGGCAAAUAAUGUAGGCUACGCUGGAGUUCCUUCAAUACUACCAUUGAUUGCAUAAUUAAACUCCUACUGCGGAGUGCAGUUUUCUUAACUUAUCGGGCAAAAUGUUAGACUCGAUUAAAAAGAAAAUUGCUAGGCGCCAUUAUUUUUUAAUCUACGGAAAUAAAAAAGUUGUUGUCCUUUACAAGGAGAUGUUGGUUGUCGAGUUCGUCUUAGAAUCCAGCAACAAAAGAGCUGGCCGAUUUUACACGUGCGGAUCGAUGAGAUGAACAAGUAAUUUUCCGAGAUCAUAUUUGAUUCCUGCUGCAAUGACUUCGAGUUUGGAAGACGUAAAUCAGCUUUAUCAUCUCAUGCAGCCAUAAGGACUAGCAACAAGGUUUAACUGCAAUUAAGAAAAGGUAGCACAGUUCCAGUCUGUAACUAAGUCACUUUUUUCGCAUUUGUUUCGAAAAUACUAGAUGAGUACAACCGCAAUCCUUGUGUUAUGGUAAUUGGCAAAUUUAUCAUUUUUUACCCUAAUUGAUACAUGAUUGAUCUUGUGUCUGGCCUAAAGAAUUUUUGCUCUAAAAUUAGACAUGUCAAACAAUUCCUUAGGUUAAUAAUUGCUAGAAAUGCGCAGUUAAUGCGAUGAAUAGAGUUCUACAUAUUUCUUGUCAUUGCUAUAACCAAAGUUUCACCUAAGAAUUUGGCCCAUCUACCAUGGAAUUGUUCAACAUUGAUGACAGAUCGAAGGACAUUGUCAGCCAGUUAGUAAACUACGCUGUAGAAUCCAGACACAUUCUGCGUCAUGGAACAGUCCCGAAUAAGAAUCCACCUUUCGAUUUUGUGUUCCAGGGACCUAAUGGUUCCUUCACAAGUUAUGGGACCGGACAGAACAUCGCCAAAUGGCUAGCGGCAAAACUCAAAUAUCAGUAUUCUUUCUCUCUGAUCAAUCAAACCCUUAUUGACAAAUAUGGUACAUAUGAGGCUGCGUUCUAUCAAGUUGUACACGAUGAAGAUAUUGACGGCAUUGCGCAAAACUUUUACCUCACUAUGAAUAGAGUACAGAGAUUGGACUACACUACCCACCCUGGAUGGGUUGAUGGAUUUCGGCUUGUUGUACCAAGAUUAGGAGAAGAAAGUCGAUUAUUUGCUUUCAUUGGUCCUUUUGAACCUCUGGUUUGGCUGCUAAUUUUUAUCAGCGUUCUCGUUAUAGUCGCAUUGAUGACGUCGUUUACCAUUUUUUACAAACAUUACCCAUGGAACGCUUCCCAGGUCGAAAAGAAUAAAAAAAACACAGAAAUUGAUACCAGCACCGUAACGAAAAGACCAGUUUCAAGAAACAUUCUUCUGCAUUACCUAGGCUCUCAUUUGAUUUACGUUAUAAACAUAAUGACGAACCAAGGAGGUAGUGAAGCAUUUAGUUACUUUUCUUUUCGGGUCCUGGCUGGCAUUUGGGUCCUAUGCGCCACGGUCCUUGUCAAUUCCUACACGGGCAUUGUCAUUUCAUCAUUAACAACUCCCAAAACGAAACCAUCAGUAGACUCGUUUGAAGACUUGGCUGCAAGUUCAGAUACUGAAAUAGUUCUCCGACAUGACACAUUCAUCGGAGAACAGAUACUGCAAGCAACUUCAGGCGUUUUUAAGGUUCUUGGAGACCGUGCUCGCCAGAAUCCUGAAAACAUUGUUGGCGAUGUUUUUAAGGUCUCGGAAAAAUUAGAGACUGGUCGCUAUGCUUUUCCGUUUGUUCAAACAUUUGCUGUUGCUUUCGUCAGUUCACAGUACAAGAAGGAUCAGCAAUGUCGCUUUAAAGCAUCAAAGCCAUUGCCCUUUUCAACUGGAUAUUAUUCAUGGCUUUUUAAAAAGAAAAGUUCUUACACUGAUGCUCACAGCAGAGCACUUGCGAACCUAUGGGAGACUGGUCUGACAAACUUCUGGGCUUAUAAGGUAUUUCUCCCAAGCGUUCCCAGGGCCGACCAGUGUUUCGUGGAAUCCACCCACCGAGUAUCUCGCAUAGUCCCUAUUCAGUUGUCGGAUUUGACUAGUGCUUUCCUUAUUUUUGGUAUCGGGAUGGGACUGGCGACUCUUAGUUUCUUGUUAGAAAUACUAUUCUCAAAGUUUCAAAGGUUGUCGUUAGUUUAAUGUAAAGAAUCAUAACAGCUGCAGAAUCAGGGGCACCCAACAUGAUAGUUUUAAUAGCGACCUAAUAACUAGUUAAUCGUGUUUAUAGAAAACAAUUUGCCCUUUUAAUCCCUCUUUGGUUCAUAGUUCAACUUUCGUUCAACAGAAUCUGAAAAUACAAGCCUAGAUAGUAAAAGCAGUGGCUGUAAUUCAAAGCAACGUAAGAUGCUAUGCAAAUUGCACGAAAUCUACUUCCCACAGUUUUGUCACGAAAGUUUUUCCGCCCAUCGAUCGUUGUGUUCUACGAGAAAAAACACUAGAAAUCGCAAGAUUUACGUAGUCAUUCACGGGCCAGAACUGUCGGGAAUAAUUUUCCUGCUACUUCGUAUUGCAUCUUGUGUUUUUAGCCAAUAUGAUAACUAAGGAAUAUGAGUAUAGUGGAAGCCUUCGGCACAGAUGAAGUCGAUGUUAGUGAAUGCGCAAUCGGGAUUUCUACGCGAGUACUCGCCGUGGUAUUUUUUAGAAUAUGCAUGCUGGCGUUUAGUAAUUCAUUUGAUAUUCGCGCUCAGCCAUCUUGGACUAGAGUUGGUCUGUCUACCCUGCAAAUGUUCGACAUUGACCACAUAUCUAAGGACAACGCCGGCUAUUUAGUGAACUGGGCCGCAUUACUCAGAUGAAUGCUGGCUCCUGGGAUCGUCCUGAACAUAAGAUGACACCAGAUCAUUUCAAGGAAGAUGCAUCAACAGUAUGAAAAGAAUUGGAAAUUUUGCCGCGGUUGGCUUUAUGCAAAGUUACAGGGCGAGGAAGGUAAACAUAGCCGAGCAAAUGUUUAAUAUUUAUGUUCUCAUUUUCUCUGAAGUGAAAAGAUGCCCAUAAAUACAGCUAAUGCGAGCAUCGCAGCUGCAUUGCUCGACUUGUCACCAGUAGAUACUGUCGUCACGAUCCACCAAAAUGCAAUUCGCAAGCAUAGUCAAUACCAUGCAAAAAAUGUCGAUCAAAAUUGUGUUAGCGAUUCUUAUAAUGGCAGUUGAUGGUUUAUCGACAGAUUACGAUUGGAGCUCCAAGCACUUCAACUAUCUCGUUGUUCAUAAUCCACCAUUUGAUUAUGUAUUUCGAGGACCCAAUGGUACCUUCACAAGUUAUGGGAGCUCACUGAACGUCGCCAUAUGGUUAGCGACAAAACUCAAAUACAC